rnacentral:sRNA from 1 species
GUUCUUCCCAGACCUAGACUUUUGACCUUGGCAAGCCAGUUAGCUUUGGUCCCUAAAACCACGCUGAGUGAUUCUGCAGUGCUCUGCACAGACACUGCCAGUGUGCAGAAGAGAGGCAAAGAUUGCCUGCAGAGACCCUCCCUGUCCCAGGUUUGGUCCCAUUUCUCCCUCAUUAGUACCGGGUAGGUCACACUUCCUCCAAUGCCGUUGUGUGGAACAGAGUGGGACAGCCCUGGGCAGGUGCGUUGAGACAGGCAAGUCUUCCCUUGAGAGGAGCUGAGUCUGGCCCUGAAGCCGGAGGUUCUGGGAAGGAGAGGGUCCGCUUGGCUGGGACCCAGGUUUGCCUGCCUGGGAUGGGAGUGAGUUAUGGGGUCUGAGUGAGGAGAAAGGCUGAGAGGCAAGGGUCACAUUAACUGCUGACAGAUAUUAAGUAGGCUGGUUGGACCUGAGAGGAGUAGAUGCAAAUGAGAAAUGUCCUGACUGGUUGGUUCCAGUUGGGUUGACUUCUUGGGCCAGGAAAGGACAUUUCAAGAAGGUCCCUGGUGACAAAGAGUUGCCAGUGAGACAGUUAAGCGUAAGCACAAACCAAAGCAACAACAACACAAGCGCCAUAUUCUCUUGACCCUGACUUACAAGAGAAGAACUUGCUGGCAGUGACAGUCAUGGAAAAGAUUCUCAGAGAUUAGCCGCGAGCGACACAAAGCAGCCAGUAUCGACACAGAGCAGUGCUGUGGUCUAAACAGGGAAACUGAGCCCUAGAGAGUCACAGAACAGCUCCUUCCACGGUGGGUGUGGGCGAUUUGAAAAAUACCAAGACUGUGUCUUGCUAGUAUUCACAGGGAAUGGCAUAAAACAGACUUCUUCAUGAGCUUUCAACAAUAUAAGUUCUAGAAACUCUACGGUGGAAAACCUUGGAAUUAAAGUGAUAAUAGAAUCGUCAAAUGGAAGAAGCCAUUCUAAACCAGCUUUUUCUGUCACGUGAGCCCUUGAAGAUCCUUCCCGGUUUAGUCAUCUUCAUGCCUGAUAUGUGACACCCGUCGUGUGUGGAGGGACCGAAAGCAUGUGCUGACCGCUGCUGCCAGGUGCUCUUCGACUUAGAGAUCCUUGCCUGGAAUUCACACCCAAUAUGCCUCAAGAUCUCCAUGCCAGGAUCCAGGUCAGAAAUUUGUAUCUCCCAGUCACAAGAUCAGGAUCACAGAUUCCCCCCAGCUCCCCAACUAUUUAAUGCCAAGCCAUCUUUCUCUCCUUCUUCGGAAAA